GAGAGAGAGAGAGAGAGCGGUCAGUCAUGCAGUCCUGCAGUUCUGCUCUCUGUAUCCUGAUCCUGAUCUCUACAGUCACUACUGUGUCUGUAUCAGCUGGUCCUUCAAUGAAGGUGAAAUGAAGCGGGAAGGCCUUGCAUAUUUCAGCAAGACAAUAAACCACAUACUGCAUCC